GAUGAACGCUGGCGGCGUGCUUAACACAUGCAAGUCGAACGGGAAUGUCGCGCUGACGAGACUUCGGUCAAAUCUUGUGGCAUUCUAGUGGCGGACGGGUGAGUAACGCGUGGGUAACCUGCCAUAUACAGGGGGAUAACACUUAGAAAUAGGUGCUAAUACCGCAUAAGCGCACGGAGUCGCAUGACUUUGUGUGAAAAACUGAGGUGGUAUAUGAUGGACCCGCGUCUGAUUAGCUUGUUGGUGAGGUAACGGCCCACCAAGGCGACGAUCAGUAGCCGGCCUGAGAGGGUGGACGGCCACAUUGGGACUGAGACACGGCCCAA
rnacentral:rRNA from 1 species